UCUCUGAUCUACCAGCAUGGACCCCAAUAACUCGCCUCGGGUUUGAUUUUAUUAAUAAGAACUUUGAUGAAUCCUGCUACAGCAGAGAAAGGGGAACAGUGAGAGGAGGAAG